rnacentral:misc_RNA from 1 species
CAUUCCAGCUCUACGGCCCUUGAAGUCCCUGAAAACCUCUUCUACUGUUCGUGGGUUGUACUGUGUCCCUCCGUCCAUGUCAGAAAAACCCUCAAGAUAAAGUUCGUUUACAGAGAGAGAACAAAGGAAAAGAGAAAGGAGAAGCAAAAGCAAAAUCUACAGAUUGAAAGGGGCAACUAAGGAGGAGAUACUGUUGCCUAGAGAAAGCCAAAAACAACAACAAACAUUUCACAGAUAGCAGCAGAGAGAGAGAGAGAGAG